UAUCAUUCUUUAGAUGCCUGUUUGUUUUCUAAGACUGACAGAGAGGGUUCAGAUCUGGGUGGGAGGAGAGAGGCAGGACGGAACUGGGGGGAGUAGGGGGAGGGGGAGACCAAAAUUAGAAUAUGAUGUGUGAAAUAAAAAUCUAUUUUCAUUCAAUAAAAGGAAAAAAAUUAAACCUGUCUGGCGAGUGAAGUCCAAGAAUGGAUGGAUCAGGCAUGCAUGCCAGGCCAAGGUAAAGGGGCCGCCAACUGAUCAGUCACCUGACACCCAGUGUGGACCAGCAAACAGGAUUCCCAUCAUCCCUCUGGUUCAUCUCCAUGCCACCGCCCACUCAGUGGUCACCUGCCCAGUGCUCUUCCCUCCUCAGGACCUCGUCCAGUCACCUCCUCUUUACUUCUGCAGUGAGCUCACCUCUACAGCUCUGACUUCAACCCUGGCUCCGCAGUGGCUGAUUCUACAGCGGCUGCUUCUUCUGCAGAUGGCGUAUCAAUACAGGAUCGGUUUACACUUCUACCACCCUGCUUCAGAAAACCCUUAUGCUUCCGCUGGAGCCUUUGAAACUUUUGUGCGCAUUCCGUGACCAGCGUAUAUGUAUAAUAUAAUAUCUCUCUGAAAGACCUAUAGGCAGUGUGAUGUGUGCUCGCAGUAUUAGCGAUCAGGGUGGGAAUGAAAGCGCCUGUGCUGACCACUGACAGAAUAUCAAUGGAACAAUGAAAACACAAUGUUUAUUUGCAAA
rnacentral:sRNA from 1 species